UUUUUAUUGGAUGAUGACUGUCAUGUGUUAUGUUCUGAUUGGAUGUCAACUCCAUGAAAAAUAAAAUGCAUUGUUAUAUUUAUUGACCAAUCAAAACAUGACACAUGAUAGUCAUCAUCU
rfam:Glycine soja cultivar W05 scaffold1617_37, whole genome shotgun sequence.